GACCCUGUAGCUCAAUCGGAUAGAGCAACGGUCUUCUAAACCGUAGGUUACAGGUUCAAAUCCUGUCAGGGUUA
rnacentral:tRNA from 1 species